CAAGGAUGCUGAGGAGUAUGUGGUCUGGUUGCAUUUUUAAAGAGAGUUCUGGGGCCAGGGAACGGCAGAGGGGAAGCAAUCUUCCUUCUACCUCCCUCUCAAGGUAAACCAAGGGAAAAAGCAGACACAUCUCUUACGGUGCUGGAGCAGGGGAGUCAUUUGGUCCUUCUGGAUCCUUGGAUUCCCACACUGGGUCUGAAAGGGAGAGGCAGUGGAUUGAGAAAGGGGUUCUGAAGGCAAGAGUCAGGAAACAAUUCUAGUUUUUCUCUCCCAUCACCUGGCAGGGUGGUCAGUGAGUGGUCUGCCCUCCUGCAAUUCAACCAUAAAGUGAAAUGUUAUAGGCUUCCAGACAGACUUAAUCAAUCUCACAUUCCUUUGUACUUUUGGAGAUGUUUAGGGUUUGGAAAGAAAAUAUUAAAUGCUUUGAGCUUGUAGCACACACACAGUGGAGCCAUGUAAAUCUAAGUUGUGUAAAUACAAUGGUCUCUUGAUAUCCACUGCAGGGAGUGGUCCCAGGACCCCAAGGAUAUCAAAACCCACAGAUGCUCAAGUCCCUUAUAUAAAAUGGCAUAGUAUUGGAACAUAACCUACACACAUCUUCCCAUAUAUUUCAAAUCGUCUUUAGAUUAUUUAUAAUACCUUCUGCAAUGAAAAUGCUAAGUAAAUCAUUGUAAAUACAAGGAAAUGCUAUGUAAACAGUUGCCAGUGCUCAGUAAACUCAAGUUUUGCUUUUUAGAACCUUCUAGAAUUACUUUCUUUUCCUGAAUAGUUUCAAUCUGUGGUUGGUUGAAGCCAUGGAUGCAGAAGCCUUGGAUACAGAGGACCUACUGCAUUUCUUAAAAGAUAAAAGCCAGUCCAGGACUUCAACAGGCUUAUAAUUAACCCGUGAAAUGUCACUGAGCUCUCUUUAAAAUAAAGUUACCAAGUCCGGGAAGGAAACUGGAUCUGUUCUGGCUGAAGCUUCAGCUUACUCUGCCUCUGGAUGUGAUUAAAAUAUUACGCCUGUUUCUCUUCAUGGCUGUGAGCCAGAUGAUUUUGAGACUGCGGAUGGUGAAGGGUUCCGGGCACUAAAACCACUGGGGCUGGAGAACGCAGCUCUCUGGCAUCCACCUGGUCUUUUCAAACAAUUGCGGGAGAUCUGCCUUUCUGCUCUCUGCUCUCCUAUUUCUCCCACUUGGAAAGUGGAUGAGACACAUUCGUUUUCCUCAUGGGUAGAGAACUAGGCAAAGCUUCAUCUGACCUCGGUAAAGCCCUGGGAAGGAAUGUCCCCUUUUGCCCAGUGCCACAGUGUUCUACUCACCCACAGGGAUACGCCUCCCUCCCUCUGAAGCAAGAAGAAUCAACAUCUGGCGCGAUGCCACUUGGGGCAGAUUUUCAAGUCUGAACUGGCGUAAACACUUUAAAAUGGAUGUGUGAAGCCAGGGCUUUUCACAAGGAGAUACAAGGAGAAAUCUUCUAAGAGCUUGUCCUGAAACUGAAAAUUGAUGGAACUCCAAGAGCUUCCAAGACGAUGGGCCCUUGGCUGAGUAUUUCCCAGCUGAGUGGAAAGUCUCACUGGCAAAGCGGAGCGGGGUGUGCAGUAAUAGAAGAGAGAGGGCUGUGUGGACAAGGACACCUGAACUUGGCAGGGGAAGUGAGCCCUUGGACAGUUGCCAGAGGGGUGCAACCGCUGUGAUCAGUUCUCAGGCAGCUGGAUGUGUAAGGGAUGGGGGGAAAGCCUCCAAGUCACACCUGAUCCUGCUCCACACAGUUACAGCUUCGUACUCCGAGAAGAAUCGCAAGCAAAUAAGCAGUUGUGACCCAAACAAAACGCGAAAAGAUCCUGCCUUUCUCCAACUAAUGCCCAUGGCGGUUCGUUCUGGAAAGCAGAUGUUAAAGGUGUGUUGCCUUCUCCACCUGGCGCCUUGGUUACUGAACACAUUAUUCCUGCUGCUUCAUGGACCGUUUCAGGUACAGGACUGAAUAUUCAUAAGGAAUUAAAGAGUGGCUAUCCCUCCCUUUGCCUACAA